CAGUCGACGAUGAAGCUGGAGCUUGCUCCGGUGGAUUAGUGGCGAACGGGUGAGUAACACGUGAGCAAUCUGCCCUUGACUCUGGGAUAACUGCGGGAAACUGUAGCUAAUACCGGAUACGACACCUUGGGGCAUCCCAGGGUGUGGAAAGAAUUUCGGUCAAGGAUGAGCUCGCAGCCUAUCAGCUAGUUGGUGAGGUAAUGGCUCACCAAGGCGACGACGGGUAGCCGGCCUGAGAGGGUGACCGGCCACACUGGAACUGAGACACGGUCCAGACUCCUACGGGAGGCAGCAGUGGGGAAUAUUGCACAAUGGGCGAAAGCCUGAUGCAGCAACGCCGCGUGAGGGAUGAAGGCCUUCGGGUUGUAAACCUCUUUUAGCAGGGAAGAAGCGAAAGUGACGGUACCUGCAGAAAAAGCACCGGCUAACUACGUGCCAGCAGCCGCGGUAAUACGUAGGGUGCAAGCGUUGUCCGGAAUUAUUGGGCGUAAA
rnacentral:rRNA from 1 species